AGAGUUUGAUCCUGGCUCAGGAUGAACGCUGGCUGUGUGCCUAAUACAUGCAUGUUGAACGAAGCUAAAAGUGCUUGCACUUUAAGACUUAGUAGCGAAUGGGUGAGUAACACGUACUUAACCUACCCCCAAGUUUGGGAUAACGUUUGGAAACGAACGCUAAUACCGAAUACGUAUUUUUAUCGCAUGAUAGAAAUAUAAAAGGAGCUUCGGCUUCGCUAGGGGAUGGGAGUGCGCUACAUUAGUUAGUUGGUAGGGUAAUGGCCUACCAAGACUAUGAUGUAUAGCGGGGCCGAGAGGCUGAUCCGCCACACUGGGACUGAGAUACGGUCCAGACUCCUACGGGAGGCAGCAGUAGGGAAUUUUCCACAAUGAACGAAAGUUUGAUGGAGCGACACAGCGUGCAGGAUGAAGGUCUUCGGAUCGUAAACUGCUGUUAUAAGGGAAGAAAAACUUUAGUAGGUAAUGACUAGAACUUGACGGUACCUUAUCAGAAAGCGACGGCUAACUAUGUGCCAGCAGCCGCGGUAAU
rnacentral:rRNA from 1 species